UACGUAGGGCGCAAGCGUUGUCCGGAAUUAUUGGGCGUAAAGAGCUCGUAGGCGGUCUGUCACGUCGGCUGUGAAAGCCCGGGGCUCAACCCCGGGUCUGCAGUCGAUACGGGCAGGCUAGAGUCCGGUAGGGGCCCACGGAAUUCCUGGUGUAGCGGUGAAAUGCGCAGAUAUCAGGAGGAACACCGGUGGCGAAGGCGGUGGGCUGGGCCGGCACUGACGCUGAGGAGCGAAAGCGUGGGGAGCGAACAGG
rnacentral:rRNA from 1 species